CCGCUCUGAGCCCGGGAGCCAGCGCCUGCCCGGCUUGCUGCCGCCCCCGCAGCCCGGGACAGCCGAGGCUCGUCCUCACCGCCGCUCGCGAGAGCUGCCCCACAUGCAGCCUUUCUGCUGUCGUGAAGGGUUUCUGGAUCAAAAUCGAGGCUUCUACACAUUCCCGCUCACCCAAAGCGUCCCACCGAAAACAGAAACUGGGGUACAUAGAAUUUAACGAAUGAUGCCAUCCCUGAGUUUUCGCUAAGGAGAAGGAGAAGCGAAGGUGACAGAGGCUAGGCCUGGAUAAAGAGCAUCCGAUGUUUCACCUCCAUCCAGGCAGAGUUCAAUGCGGGGCUCGGCGCCCUGCUCUUGGGGUCAGUUCCCUCCCCCGAGAAAGGUGGAGGCGCAGUCUCCUGAGGUCAGCCAGCCACCUGGACGCUUCUGCUCUGAAACAGGCUGCGGCUUGGGGACCACACGUGCUUAGUGCCUGGGAAACAUAUCCAGAGAGGAGCAAGAAGCUGACGCUUCCCAGACCCCAGCUCCUCAGCUUCCUGGCACCAGAAUCCACCACCCAUCACGGAGGCAGACAACCAGAUGAUACGGACAUCUAUGUCAAAAAGCUGAAAAAAUCAACAGAAAAACUCCUGGAACUAGUGGAAGAAGGAAGCAGAAGAGUUCAGAGUCAGAGUGAUGCGAUAUGAGAAGGAUUCCAUCAGCCAUCGCUGACUCUGAAGAUGCAGGAAAGGGGCCAAGGGAUGCAGGCAGCCUUUGGAAGCUGGGGAAGGAAAGAAACAGAUUCUCACCCUAGAGAUUCUAGAAAGGAAUUGGUCCUGCCCACACCUGGUUUUUAAUGUAGUAAGAUCUUGUCCAAGUUCUGAACUGUAAGGCAAUAAAUCUGUUCUCUU
rnacentral:lncRNA from 1 species